rnacentral:rRNA from 1 species
GGAUGAACGCUAGCUACAGGCUUAACACAUGCAAGUCGAGGGGGCGAGCGCAGUGUAGCAAUACAUGGGCGGCGACCGGCGCACGGGUGCGUAACGCGUAUCCAACCUUCCCGAUACUCUUGGAUAGCCUUCCGAAAGGGAGAUUAAUACAAGAUGGUGUUUCAAUUCCGCAUGUUAUUGAAACUAAAGAUUUAUCGGUAUCGGAUGGGGAUGCGUGACAUUAGAUAGUAGGCGGGGUAACGGCCCACCUAGUCUACGAUGUCUAGGGGUUCUGAGAGGAAGGUCCCCCACACUGGAACUGAGACACGGUCCAGACUCCUACGGGAGGCAGCAGUGAGGAAUAUUGGUCAAUGGGCGGAAGCCUGAACCAGCCAAGUAGCGUGAAGGAUUACUGCCCUACGGGUUUUAAACUUCUUUUAUGCGAGAGUAAUGUGCGCUACGUGUAGCGUAUUGCAAGUAUCGCAUGAAUAAGCAUCGGCUAACUCCGUG